UACGAAGGGUGCUAGCGUUGUUCGGAAUUACUGGGCGUAAAGGGCGCGUAGGCGGACCUGUCAGUCAGGGGUGAAAUCCCGGGGCUCAACCUCGGAACUGCCUUUGAUACUGCGGGUCUAGAAUAUAUGAGGGGAUAGUGGAAUACCAAGUGUAGAGGUGAAAUUCGUAGAUAUUUGGUGGAACACCAGUGGCGAAGGCGACUAUCUGGCAUAUUAUUGACGCUGAGGCGCGAAAGCGUGGGGAGCAAACAGG
rnacentral:rRNA from 1 species